rnacentral:rRNA from 1 species
UGGGGAAUUUUGCACAAUGGGGGAAACCCUGAUGCAGCGACGCCGCGUGAUUUAGAAGGCCUUCGGGUUGUAAAAAUCUUUUCUAUGGGAAGAAAAUGACAGUACCAUAGGAAUAAGGACCGGCUAAUUACGUGCCAGCAGCCGCGGUAAUACGUAAGGUCCGAGCGUUGUCCGGAAUCAUUGGGCGUAAAGGGUACGUAGGCGGGUAAGCAAGUUAGAAGUGAAAUCCUAUAGCUCAACUAUAGUAAGCUUUUAAAACUGCUCAUCUUGGGGUAUGGAAGGGAAGAUGGAAUUCCUAGUGUAGCGGUGAAAUGCGCAGAUAUUAGGAGGAAUACCGGUGGCGAAGGCGACUUUCUGGCCAUAACCUGACGCUGAGGUACGAAAGCGUGGGUAGCAAACAGG